UACGUAGGGUCCAAGCGUUAAUCGGAAUUACUGGGCGUAAAGCGUGCGUAGGCGGUCUCGCAAGUCCGAUGUGAAAUCCCCGAGCUUAACUUGGGAACUGCGUUGGAAACUAUGAGGCUAGAGUGCGGCAGAGGGGGGUGGAAUUCCAGGUGUAGCAGUGAAAUGCGUAGAGAUCUGGAGGAACACCGAUGGCGAAGGCAGCCCCCUGGGUUAGCACUGACGCUGAUACACGAAAGCGUGGGGAG
rnacentral:rRNA from 1 species